rnacentral:rRNA from 1 species
CCGUGGGCGCUGGAGAAUUGAGGGGGGCUGCUCCUAGUACGAGAGGACCGGAGUGGACGCAUCACUGGUGUUCGGGUUGUCAUGCCAAUGGCACUGCCCGGUAGCUAAAUGCGGAAGAGAUAAGUGCUGAAAGCAUCUAAGCACGAAACUUGCCCCGAGAUGAGUUCUCCCUGAGACUUUAAGUCUCCUGAAGGAACGUUGAAGACGACGACGUUGAUAGGCCGGGUGUGUAAGCGCAGCGAUGCGUUGAGCUAACCGGUACUAAUGAACCGUGAGGCUUAACCUU